rnacentral:lncRNA from 1 species
GAAGCUUAGCAGCUUACCUGAGCUUGGAUUCUAGGGGCCAACAUCUACAGCUGCAUGUACAACCUAUACUCUGUUAUUAUAUGACUAAGCAUUCUAGUUUACUUGAGUAAACUGAAAGUAAGCUGGAACACGGAAUGUUUAACCUGACGAUGUAUCUUCAGUUGUACUAUUGACAUUGUCAGGACAAGGUCUAAUCUAUUGCCGACUAUCUGGUUUACCUUACCAUCUAAUGAUAACCUUGAGUUGUUCCACUUCACUUAGUGAAAGAAUUAACCAUAUCUUUCCAGAUUUAUCUGACAGCUACUAUGAGGUUUUCACAUCCAACAAAUUAAUGUCAUCACCCUGCCUUAUACUUUAAAGUCACAUAAUUAAGAAACAGAAAUUUCCAGUUUAUAGUCAUUCUAAGUUUCUAACAGCUUAUAUUUUCAGCAUCAAUAAGAAGUUGGUCUUGGUGUAUACAGGCUGUACUUGCUUCACCUCUCCUAGUUCAAUAUACUCAUUGACAUGGGUAUAUGAAUCAUUUUAGGGAUGCAAGUGGGUUGACCCGCGAACCCGCAUAUAGGUCUAGUUUUGUUGCCACAAGCAACAAACAAAAUUGACCCUAUAUGCAGGUUCGCAGGCCAACCUACUUGCAUCCCUACUCAUUUAUCACACAUGACCACAUGAGCUCUUCACAGGAUGCAGUUCAGUAUAUCAUAAUCUUCCAACAAUCACAUAAGCAUCAGGAAAGCAUUUGACAUCAAGCAUCAGCAAGAAAAUAACGAUCAUGCAAUCAUGAGAAGAUCAACAGCAACCACACUACCAUCCAAACAAGAUCACACAUGCACAGAUGAACACCGGAUAUAUGAUUAGCAAUUUUGUAUCUAAAAUAAUUUUUGUGUGAGUUGUAUCCAGAUUGAACCUAUCAAAAAAUGUAAGCAGCAAGUGGCAUUAAGUAUUCAAAUGAUUGAACUCUGGAUCUGGAGCACCCAGAGACAAGAAAUUGCUCAAAAAUAAAUUUGAGGCCAAAAUUCCUCGUUCAUGUGCCUCCAGUUAUGACAACUUACAGUGUUAUCUUAACUUGAUCUACACAUGGAACGAUAUAUAGAACGCAUCACAUCUUAUGAAGACCAAAAAUAUGAGAAGUACUCCGUAUCGUCAGAUUGUACCAGUUAUCAAACUAUCGAUCAAGAUGACUACGAUCUGGAGUGGGACAUAAAGUAUAAUUGAAGGAUUAAGAUAUGCUGGGCAAGAGAUACAUAUGUAUGUCUACAACUUAGCUUCUUUUUGCAAUGAAAUUCUAAUGAUGAUGAUCUGGUAACUCUAGAGCAAUGCCUAAAAAUAAAUGGAGAUCCCAGAUUCCCAAAGGUAGGACCGUAGGACAACUCUUCUGGUUGCUCACUCCAGAUAAUGUGUAAUCGUUUAGAGAAACCACUAUUUUUUUUAUUUUAUGUAUUUAUUUAUUUAUUUAUUGCAAAAUUUUAAAAAGGAAGUGCACCCUUCUGUUAUGAAUCUAUCGGGACUGUGUGAGAGAACCAGG